GCUCCUCCUCCUUCGCGCAGCACGUGACCCAGAAAGGCACAUGAUCAGCUCUGCUGCUGCUGCUGCCUUACACGUGCCGGUGCCGCCAAGCAAGCAAGGAAGAGGUCGCUGCCGUUCGUCGUUCGUGCCCUACCCGCCAAUCUAUCUCUAGCAAGCAAGCAAGCUAGGAGACUCACUGUGUUACUUACUUAACACUUACACGACAACCAGGAGCGGCAAGAGGCUCAGGAACCCUCAGAACAAAGCAAGAAAUGUGUCUCAUGUGGAAUUUAGAAACUGAAAAUAGAAAAACUAGACUAGAUAAUAAGGAGUUCAUUUUUGCAAGAUUGGUAUCAGAUAAGAAUCUACAGUCCCCAAAGCUGCUCAUUUUCCACUACAAUCACUCUAAAAACCAGAGGUAUCAUCAGCACAUGGGUGUCCAGUGGAAGCACACAGCAAAGACCAAGCUAAGACUUUUGCAUUAUUUUGAGUGGUACUGCAGCCCAAAGAGAAAUGCUUCCUCUGAGGGGGGAAAUUUUAAUGAAAGAAACCAAAGAAACCAAGCCGAUUAUGUUAUUGUUUUAACAAAACCAUCCCCAGCACAGCAUCCCUCCAGUGGCUGUUGAAGAGGUCUAUCUUAUGUUUCUUUUUUAGGUUGUGAGCCCUUUGGGGACAGGGAGCCAUCUUAUUUAAUCUAAUUUAUUUAUUUAUAUCUAUGUAACGUGCUUUGGGAACUUCUCUUGAAAAGCGGUAUAAAUAUUCGUCGUAUUUGUCCCUACUGAAAUAAAUUUUACCUUUCUGUUUAAAUUUUGUUGUUAUGCCCUAGCACACUGCCGAUUUACCAUGCUCCUGGCUUACUGAACUUCUGCAGCAUUCUCCACUGCCACAUACUUCUCUUGAAACUCUCAUGGAGCUUAAAAGAAACCAAGUGUCUUCUGUUCUUUGGACUUUUUUGCUGAUGUCUUAAUAAAUUACUUCCUGAAAAUCAUGCUGAAAA